CCUACGGUGUGCAGCAGUGAGGAAUCUUGGUCAAUGGGCGCGAGCCUGAACCAGCCAAGUAGCGUGCAGGAUGACUGCCCUACGGGUUGUAAACUUCUUUUAUAAAGGAAUAAAGUGAGGCACGUGUGCCUUUUUGUAUGUACUUUAUGCAUAAGGAUCGGCUAACUCCGUGACCGCAGCCGAGGUAAUACGGAGGAUCCGAGCGUUAUCCGGAUUUAUUGGGUUUAAAGGGAGCGUAGAUGGGUUGUUAAGUCAGUUGUGAAAGUUUGCGGCUCAACCGUAAAAUUGCAAUUGAUACUGGCAUCCUUGAGUACAGUUGAGGUAGGCGGAAUUCGUGGUGUAGCGGUGAAAUGCUUAGAUAUCACGAAGAACUCCGAGUGCGAAGGCAGCCUACUAAACUGCCACUGACAUUGAUGCUCGAAAGUGUGGGUAUCAAACAGGAUUAGAUACCCGUGUAGUC
rnacentral:rRNA from 1 species